GACAAAGGAAGGAAGGUGGUCUUAGUGUGAAGAGCCGGGGUGCCUUCUCAGGUGAUGUUGUUUGGUACGACUGGGGAGAGAGAGAUUCCAGUUGUAGUAAUAAUGAAGCACACGAAGGCGAUGAUGUGCUCAAACGGUAUACUCUGACGCAUCACACGUGCAAUGCCCGGUUCGUAGGUAUUCGCUGCUUGGGAACCGCAGGACUUGACCAUAUCCAUUCCUGGUCUAACACGCCAUUUUUGGAAGAUUCGACUUGGAAGGGCUAUGCUACUCCGUGAGUAAAUCUGAUAUGGCAGCUGUCAAUAAUAAAAUGGCACUUCUCUGCAAUGAAGACCUGUAAGAAAAUUGAGUUAUUGCUGAUCAGAUGUCAGCAUUGCAUGUGUGCAGGUGGGAGACCAUUUUUGAAAAUAAUAUUCAAGCCUUUUACUUCUUGUCACUAAAGGCCUUCAUUGAAAUCUUUUUUUUGAGUAUUCCAUCUUUGUCCUGUGCAUUCAGCAACAGACAUUCACCUUUUCCACUGAAGCUAUCUGAUGGUCAUGU